rnacentral:rRNA from 1 species
UAGGGAAUCUUCCACAAUGGACGAAAGUCUGAUGGAGCAACGCCGCGUGAGUGAAGAAGGGUUUCGGCUCGUAAAACUCUGUUGUUAAAGAAGAACAUAUCUGAGAGUAACUGUUCAGGUAUUGACGGUAUUUAACCAGAAAGCCACGGCUAACUACGUGCCAGCAGCCGCGGUAAUACGUAGGUGGCAAGCGUUGUCCGGAUUUAUUGGGCGUAAAGCGAGCGCAGGCGGUUUUUUAAGUCUGAUGUGAAAGCCUUCGGCUCAACCGAAGAAGUGCAUCGGAAACUGGGAAACUUGAGUGCAGAAGAGGACAGUGGAACUCCAUGUGUAGCGGUGAAAUGCGUAGAUAUAUGGAAGAACACCAGUGGCGAAGGCGGCUGUCUGGUCUGUAACUGACGCUGAGGCGCGAAAGUAUGGGUAGCAAACAGG